rnacentral:rRNA from 1 species
AUUGAACGCUGGCGGCAGGCCUAACACAUGCAAGUCGAACGAGUGGCGGACUGGUGAGUAAUGUCUGGGAAACUGCCCGAAGGAGGGGGAUAACUACUGGAAACGGUAGCUAAUACCGCAUACCAUCGGAUGUGCCCAGAGGGGAUUAGCUAGUAGGGGGGGUAACGGCUCACCUAGGCGACGAUCCCUAGCUGGACUGAGAGGAUGACCAUCCACACUGGAAGUGGUGCACGGUCCAGACUCCUACGGGAGGCAGCGGUGGGGAAUAUUGCACAAUGGGCGCAGUCCUGAUGCAGCCAUGCCGCGUGUAGGAAGAAGGCCUUCGGGUUGUAAAGUACUUUCAGCGAGGAGGCGUUACUCGCGGAUGAAGCAUCGGCUAACUCCGUGCCAGCAGCCGCGGUAAUAC